GUGUCAGCAGCCGCGGUAAUACGUAGGGGGCAAGCGUUGUCCGGAUUUAUUGGGCGUAAAGAGCGUGUAGGCGGCCACACAGGUCAGCUGUGAAAACUCGAGGCUCAACCUCGAGACGUCGGUUGAAACCGUAUGGCUAGAGUCCGGAAGAGGAGAGUGGAAUUCCCGGUGUAGCGGUGAAAUGCGCAGAUAUCGGGAAGAACACCCAUGGCGAAGGCAGCUCUCUGGGACGGUACUGACGCUGAGACGCGAAAGCGUGGGGAGCGAACAGGAUUAGAUACCCUGGUAGUCCACGCCGUAAACGAUGGGCACUAGGUGUGGCGGGUGUCGACUCCCGCUGUGCCGAAGCUAACGCAUUAAGUGCCCCGCCUGGGGAGUACGGCCGCAAGGCUAAA
rnacentral:rRNA from 1 species